rnacentral:rRNA from 1 species
AUGCCUUUUGCUUCAUUUCCUAUUUAUACCCCGACCAGCUGGUACCUACUCCAUCCUCAAAACACACACACACUCCUCCCUCACCAAGUCACCGGGCCGCAGAGGGCGAUCAAGCAGCUAGUACACCUCUGCUGUGAGUCCGCAAUGUCGACUAGCUGCCGCGCUCCGGCCAACCGCUGCAUCUGCAAGACGCCGUCGGGGAACCCGCUGCCGCGGCGGGGCCAGGUCAAGGAGAGCAUCGCCAAGCAGAUCGUGGCGGCCGCCGUGGCCACGGCGUCGAUGGUCGUCUGCGACGCCGGCGCGGGCGGCAAGAAAGGCGGGGCCAAGCCGCCCGCCCCGCCCGCCGGUGCCAAGAAGAAAUGA